rnacentral:misc_RNA from 1 species
AAAUAUUGUGGUGGAGUUGAAGAAAUGUUGCAAUCACCCCUUUUUAUUUGAAAGUGCGGACCAUGGUUAUGGUGGGGAUGCAAAUUAUUUUGGCAGCUCAAAAUUGGAAAGAAUUAUACUAAGCAGUGGUAAGCUUGUUAUACUUGACAAGCUGCUGGACAGAUUGCAUGAAACAAAGCAUCGAGUGUUGAUAUUUUCUCAGAUGGUGAGGAUGCUGGACAUACUGGCCGAAUAUUUGUCUAUCAAAGGAUUCCAAUAUCAGCGGCUUGAUGGUAGUACAAAGUCUGAGUUGCGCCAGCAGGCUAUGGACCACUUCAAUGCACCUGGUAGUGAAGAUUUCUGUUUUCUUCUGUCGACCCGAGCUGGUGGAUUGGGUAUAAAUCUUGCAACAGCAGACACUGUUAUCAUAUUUGAUUCUGAUUGGAAUCCCCAAAAUGACUUGCAGG